rnacentral:rRNA from 1 species
AAAACGACUCUCGGCAACGGAUAUCUAGGCUCUCGCAUCGAUGAAGAACGUAGCGAAAUGCGAUACUUGGUGUGAAUUGCAGAAUCCCGCGAAUCAUCGAGUUUUUGAACGCAAGUUGCCCCCAAAGCCAUUCGGCCGAGGGCACGUCUGCCUAGGUGUCACGC